rnacentral:rRNA from 1 species
GACGUACGCUGGCGGCGUGCGUAACACAUGCAAGUCGAACGGAAAAUUUCAAUAAGUUUACUUAGCGAAAUUUUUAGUGGCGGACGGGUGAGUAACGCGUGGGUAACCUACCCAUAAAUCCGGGACAACCCUUGGAAACGAGGGCUAAUACCGAAUAAUCUUAGAGCUUGGCAUCAAGCAUUGAGGAAAGGUGGCCUCUGAAGAUGCUACYGAUUAUGGAUGGACCCGCGUCUGAUUAGCUAGUUGGUGGGGUAAAGGCYUACCAAGGCGACGAUCAGUAGCCGGCCUGAGAGGGUGAACGGCCACACUGGGACUGAGACACGGCCCAGACUCCUACGGGAGGCAGCAGUGGGGAAUCUUCCGCAAUGGACGAAAGUCUGACGGAGCAACGCCGCGUGUAUGAUGAAGGUCUUCGGGUUGUAAAGUACUGUCUUUGGGGAAGAAUGACUGGCUUGAAAAUAUUGAGUCAGUAUGACGGUACCCAAGGAGGAAGCCCCGGCUAACUACGUGCCAGCAGCCGCGGUAAUACGUAGGGGGCAAGCGUUGUCCGGAAUUAUUGGGCGUAAAGGGCGCGUAGGCGGAUCAUUAAGUCCGGUGUGAAAGAUCAGGGCUCAACCCUGAGAGUGCAUCGGAAACUGGCGAUCUUGAGGACAGGAGAGGAAAGUGGAAUUCCACGUGUAGCGGUGAAAUGCGUAGAUAUGUGGAGGAACACCAGUGGCGAAGGCGACUUUCUGGACUGUAACUGACGCUGAGGCGCGAAAGCGUGGGGAGCAAACGGGAUUAAAUCCCCUGGUAGUCCCCCCCGUAACC